rnacentral:lncRNA from 1 species
AACAAAAUGCCUUUUCGGUGUGUGAAUCCUGAAGCUUAUUUUUUUCGAGAACAUUGUGAGUUCAUAUCUUACAUUGGCUAAUUGAUAGGCGUGAUCACAUGCCUGGGGAUUUUAAUCAGAAAAAAACCCAUAAAUUUGUUAUUUGUGAUUUUUCAACCUUGAUGAAUCACAAAUCAAAAUGAACCACCAUUUUUCUGAUCUAUGCCUAUCUCUAGUUCAUGUCUAUAAGUGUUAAUUUCGCUUUCUUGGUCUCUCUCUCUCUUUUAACAGGAAACUUUUAGGAGUCUUGCAUUUAUAACCCUCCAGUCAUCGUUACUUUUUCAGAUGUCAAAAAUUGAAAAUCGGUGGGGAUAAUAAAAGGCAGCUGAUUUCCUGGCCCUUGACAAUCUAGUUAAGCAUCUGACUGAGAAUGUUGGCACCAGCGUUGGAGGAAUCACUGAGCCUCAACUCAAGAUUGUCACCCUUCACAAGCAGGAGAAUGAUGGAAAUAGAGAUUCAGCAGUUCAGCU